AACGAACGCUGGCGGCAGGCUUAACACAUGCAAGUCGAACGCGUGUAGCAAUACACGAGUGGCGCACGGGUGAGUAACACGUGGAUAUCUGCCUUUUGGUUCGGAAUAACUCCGGGAAUCUGGAGCUAAUACCGGAUGGUUCCUACGGGAUAAAGAUUUAUCGCCAAAAGAUGAGUCCGCGCACGAUUAGCUAGUUGGUGAGGUAAUGGCUCACCAAGGCGACGAUCGUUAGCUGGUCUGAGAGGACGAUCAGCCACACUGGGACUGAGACACGGCCCAGACUCCUACGGGAGGCGGCAGUGGGGAAUAUUGGACAAUGGGGGCAACCCUGAUCCAGCCAUGCCGCGUGAGUGAUGAAGGCCUUCGGGUUGUAAAGCUCUUUUGGCGGGGACGAUGAUGACGGUACCCGCAGAAUAAGCCCCGGCUAACUUCGUGCCAGCAGCCGCCGUAAAAC
rnacentral:rRNA from 1 species